rfam:Hordeum vulgare subsp. vulgare, WGS project CAJW01000000 data, contig: morex_contig_1586952
UUUGUACUCCUUCCGUCCCAAAAUUCUUGUCUUACGUUUGUCUAGAAAUAAAUGUAUCUAAAUACUAAAACGUGACNNGAUACAUUCAUAUCUAGACAAAUCUAAGGCAAGAAUUUUGAGACGGAGGGUGUACUAU